rnacentral:rRNA from 1 species
UACGGAGGGGGCUAGCGUUGUUCGGAAUUACUGGGCGUAAAGCGCACGUAGGCGGAACAGAAAGUCAGAGGUGAAAUCCCAGGGCUCAACCUUGGAACUGCCUUUGAAACUCAUGUUCUUGAGGUCGAGAGAGGUGAGUGGAAUUCCUAGUGUAAAGGUGAAAUUCGUAGAUAUUCGGAUGAACACCAGUGGCGAAGGCGGCUCACUGGCUAGAUACUGACGCUGAGUUGCGAAAGCGUGGGGAGCAAACAGG